rnacentral:lncRNA from 1 species
UGUGCGUGCGCUGUGGGAUAAGGCACAGGCGAUGCUGGAGAAAGACCUUGCUGCUGCUGGGCCUGAUGGGCCCGUCACUUACAGCACCGCUGUCCUGCUCAUGCAUGCGCUGCUGGCGGAGAUGAUAUCUGGUGUCUACAUUCCGCCUGUCCGCUUGUCCGUGUUGAGCACCUUGAUGGUGCCAGGCAUGCAGACCUGCAAGCAGCAAGACUGCUUCCAGAUGGACUGCCGCGGCAACAACCUGGUCGAGGUGAUUCCUGUAGCAAGGGCAGGGGCAGGGGCGGAUGGCAGCCAUGGCGCUAGCAGCAGCAGCAGCAGGAGCAGCAGCAGCAGGGGCCGUCGUCUUGUGAUGGAGACCAUCCAUCACAAGACGGAGCGCUUUAAGAAGGAUGAGGCCCUGAGAAUUGUGCUCCCUUCGACGCUCUCCCAGCACAUCCGGACUUACACAGAGUAUGCCCGGCCAGCGCUCCUCAACAUGAAUCCCAGCAUUGACGAUGCCAGCAAGGAGCCUCCCUUCCUGUUCCUUGACAGGAAGGGCAGGCCGG